AUGCGGAGGUCCAAAAAGCGUCAACACGAGUCGACAACCGGUCCAUACCAGAGGUCGGUCGAUGCCCGGCAGCUAUCCCCGGGCAUGGACGACUACGGGAUGGAUGAUCGCCACAUGGAUGGUCUGGAGGGCGAUGACGGUGAUCAGCCAUCUCCUGGCGAGGCCAACUUCUCCGUCGACGUCGACGCCACGACGUUGCCCACACCAAAUUCCGAUAACCAGCCAUCUGCCAGAAGAGCGGAGUGUUGGCGACACUUCGAAUUAUUCACCGAGAUGGUUGACGGAGGUAACACAGUGGUCAAAGCGAGGUUCCAAGACUACUGUAAAGCGAAGAAUAAACCUGGACGGAUGUUUGGCAUUGUGAAGAAUAAACCUGGACGGAUGUUUGGCAUUGAUGUCAAACAUAGGUGGAACACAACAUACCUGUUGCUGCGACAAUUAAAA
rnacentral:lncRNA from 1 species